UCCCAAGUACGACAUGAAGACCGCUAUUUUCGCUUUUGCACUCUUUUUCGUGGUUCUGGCACACGCUCUGCCAGUUAAGGAUGAGCAGCUCAACGACCAGCGGAGUGAGCUGACUGAGACUGAACACGUUUUACGACGAGAUGCGACAGAAGGGAAUUUAAUGUUAAAAAUUUCACGGACAGAGAGGGCUGCUGAUCCCAACCGUGGUCACCAUGGACACCAUGGCCAUCAUGGCCAUCACGGACACCAUGGCCAUCAUGGUCACCAUGGACACCAUGGCCAUCAUGGACACCACGGACACCAUGGCCAUCAUGGACACCACGGACACCAUGGUCACCACGGACACCAUCAUGGAUGAAAAUUAUCCUUAUAGUAUUAUCCUUCAAGUUCCUCCUGUAUAAUAGUUUGUUUUGUAAGCAAUCAAUAAAAUGUUGAAUAUAAUUAAAACCAGGCUUCAUCCUCGUUGUCAAAUUAAAGAGAAAUUCGUCUUCUUUAUUUCUCGACCAGUUUCGACGUCACCAAGUACGUCCUAAUCAUGAGUUACAAUUACAAUCAAAUAACAAACAAUACAAUAAUGUCACAUCUAAAAUCAUAUAAAUUCCAUACAAUUUUUAAAAAAACACCCACCUAUUCAUGAGGCACUUGAGGCAAGCUCCAAAGACCAAAUGUAACAAAUUCUAAGCCACCCCUUUGUUAAAUAACACGCACAUCUCACAGGUGGUAGGGAACCUUUUUGUUCCGUGAGCUAAAUUUUCCCCUUUCAGCGCGUAAAUUUUCUUUUUGGAGGCGGUUGCAAUGGAAUGCUCAGAAAACGUUAUUAGUAACCCAAGCCACCUGCUUUGUGAUGUGUGGAAAAAUAUUUUACGCGCUGAAAGGGGAAAAUUUAGCUCACGGAACAAAAAGGUUCCCUACCACCUGUGAGAUGUGCGUGUUAUUUAACAAAGGGGUGGCUUAGAAUUUGUUACAUUUGGUCUUUGGAGCUUGCCUCAAGUGCCUCAUGAAUAGGUGGGUGUUUUUUUAAAAAUUGUAUGGAAUUUAUAUGAUUUUAGAUGUGACAUUAUUGUAUUGUUUGUUAUUUGAUUGUAAUUGUAACUCAUGAUUAGGACGUACUUGGUGACGUCGAAACUGGUCGAGAAAUAAAGAAGACGAAUUUCUCUUUAAUUUGACAACGAG